UCCGGUUGAUCCUGCCGGACCCGACUGUUAUUUGGGUGAGAAUAAGCCAUGCGAGUUGAAUGGGAUACCUAAAUUUCCCAUAGGGAACUGCUCAGUAACACAUGAUCAACUUACCCUAUAGAGAAACAUAACCUCGGGAAACUGAGGAUAAUAUUUCAUAGUUGAAUAGGCUUGGAAAAGUUUUUCAAUAAAAGAGAUAAAAAAAAUGGUUUUUAUCUGCUAUAGGAUAGGAUCGUGGACGAUUAUGGUUGUUGGUGGUAACGGCUCACCAAGCCGAUAAUCGAUAGGGGCCGUGAGAGCGGGAGCCCCGAGAUGGGUACUGAGACAACGACCCAGGCCUUACGAGGCGCAGCAGGCGCGGAACCUCCGCAAUACACGAAAGUGUGACGGGGUUACCCAAAGUGUUCAAUUUUGAACUGUGGUAGGUGAGUAAUGUUCCCUACUAGAAAGGAGAGGGCAAGGCUGGUGCCAGCCGCCGCGGUAAAACCAGCUCUUCAAGUGGUCGGGAUAAUUAUUGGGCUUAAAGUGUCCGUAGCCGGUUUAGUAAGUUCCUGGUAAAAUCGGGUAGCUUAACUAUCUGUAUGCUAGGAAUACUGCUAUACUAGAGGGCGGGAGAGGUCUGAGGUACUACAGGGGUAGGGGUGAAAUCUUAUAAUCCUUGUAGGACCACCAGUGGCGAAGGCGUCAGACUGGAACGCGCCUGACGGUGAGGGACGAAAGCCAGGGGAGCGAACCGGAUUAGAUACCCGGAUAGUCCUGGCCGUAAACGAUGCAUACUAGGUGAUGGCACGGCCAUGAGCCGUGUCAGUGCCGUAGGGAAACCGUUAAGUGUGCCGCCUGGGAAGUACGGUCGCAAGGCUAAAACUUAAAGGAAUUGGCGGGGGAGCAC
rnacentral:rRNA from 1 species